UGUAAACUGUGCUGUGUGUUGUGAGUUCGGCUUCAACCAGCUACAAGUGAACGCCUCAUGAAAUGGCUUACACCCACAUACCCGGUAAAUUACACACUUUGAUGUUCUGCUCCUUCUCCUGACGGUCACGGUAACGAUGUCUGCGCCUCCAUUUCUGUGGAUGUCCAGCGUGAGACACAACUUGAAUCCAACCAGACUGAACACUGACUCCAGGGACGGACGAGCCUGAAGGACACAGCUGUGAUGACCAAUUGACCAUGUUUUGUCUCUUAUGGCAAAGCAGAAAUAUUAAACACUGGGUUCUUAUCUAAAGUGUAUCAAAUCAGAAAGCAAAAGAUACACAUUGUUGUUAUAAGUUUUUAUUAUUUUAACCAACCAUAAUGAAGAUAGAAAUGAAUUCUUAUCCAUGCCACUUAGCAAUGACUGCCACCACCAAACAGUUGCAGGCCAUCUUUAUUUAAGGGAGGAAUUUAGAAGUGUUGUGUAGCUUCUGAUGAUGAUGCAGUCGUCCACGUGUUGACCACCAUGUUGCUGCUGACGACGUCAGGUGCUGCAGUUCCUCAUCUAUGAAGAGAAGAAACGCACUGUUAAAGAAUGUUUUGAGUUGUGUAUGAAGCACAACAGAUUUCAGAUAGAACCGUUGUACUGUGGUCUGGGUUUGUAUCCUAAUGGUUAAAUGCACAUAUUUUAAGUCGCUUUUGAUAAAAGUACUGAAAGAAAUACAACAUUGUAAAAAUAGAUAAAAUGUCUUUCUACCUCAUCUGUAAUAUUCAAGGUGAUAAUCUCCCACAGAGCUAUUGAUAACAGUCCAC